ensembl:lncRNA
AAGGAAACUGCUUUGUCUCAAGGAGCUUGUCCAGUCUGCGGCGAGAUGGGAGGCCAUCUGGGCUGGGGGUCACGGGUCCCCAUGUGACUCCUCGAGCCUGAUUAGUGAGCCGUAGGAGGUAGAAAUCCUCCCCCCAAGGAGCUCCGGGCUCCUGGUUUCAGAUACAAUGUCCUUUUUAUAUCUACCCUGUGUCUGGGCCAGGACCUGAUCAUAUGCCUGUUUGGAUUGAGGGCAAAGGGGAGAGAGGGCCAGGAGGGAGAGGAUUAAGAAUUACCCAAGUUCCAUAAACAUGACCGGAGACAGCCCUUAGGACUGGAAUGUGACAAAAGGAAAGUGCCUGGAGAAAUGCUGUGUCUGCAGGAGGGAGAGGGGAACCAGCCAUAACCGGGCUCUGGGCUCUGAGUUUUACAUACAUUCACUAUGCAUGGAAAACCCUGGGAGGACCGAGCAGAAGCCGGACUCUGAAGUCUGAAGUCACACGGCUAAUAGAUGGAGGAGCUGGGAUUUCAUUGUGCGGUUCCCAGGGCCCUUGCUGGCAGGAAGAGGCAUCCAGAUUGCAGAUGUACUUGUUCCUGUUCCUGGCAAGACCCACUUCCCACCGUGACUGACAAGUUUUGGACCCAGUGGCAACGUGGAGUAGAAGAAAGAGCAUGGAUUUUAGAAUGAGACUGGCUCCCCGACUCAUUAGCCUGCAAGUUCCUUAACCUUUGUAAGAUGCAUUUUCCUCCCUUAUUUGUAAAAUGAGGUUUACUAAGAUCUACCCUGAGAAGCUAUCGUAAGGAAUGCCUAAGCUAGUACUGGCACACAGCUGCAGCUCAAUGAAUGGUAGAGAUUUUCCAAACGCAUUGACAUCCUGAUUUGUCAAUCAGUCUUUUGUGAGUUCGUCUUGCAGCCAUGGAGUAGCAACAGAGUCAAGGUUCCCAGCACCACACACCAAAUCCAGUUCCCUUCAGGCUGCAUCUCCGGUUUGUUGGACCUUGGUUUUCCAUGUGUUUUUUUAGCUUUGUUUACUUUCUUGCCACCAGCUCCAAGGAACCCCCAGCCCCUGACUGAGCCAGGCUCUAUCCACCACCCCUUGGAGGGCCAGAGGGAUUCAGGCUCAACCAGCCUUCCUGUCCUUUCUCUCGCUGUGCUCCCAACUUCCAUUUUUCGCUACUGGAUCUAUUGGCCAGAUCUUCCCCAUCAGACCAAAAAGAGGAUGGGAACAACUAUUCAGAUAAUUCAGACACUUAUUCAAGCAAAAAUGAUGAUACUUCUCCUCCUGAAUGAUCCGGAUAGUUGUUUUAAUUCUCAGCUUCACUUUGUCUCUGGAGCCCCAGGCUCUUCUUUGUUCCGUGACUCUAGUUAAAAUUCGGUCCCAGUGAUAAAUAUUUCUGAUCUAAUUGUUUCUUCCACUCCUGUUCCACAGGGGGUGUUUUCAGGGAAAAGGAUCUGUAGGUAAAUGAGAAUUAACUUCAAGCCUGGGCAAUGUUAGAAUCAAAAUAAAGCUGUCAUGGCAGACCUGCUAUCUACAUUUCACUUUCUGGAAGCGCCCCACUCUAUUUCAUCCCUCCCCAACCCCUGACACACGCAGCAGCAAGGAACAAAUCACCAUUUAUUAAACUCUAAUUAUCUCUCCCGUUUCUCAGUACCAUUCUCUGUGUAUGCCUGCCGCACACAAGCCUGUACUGCACUGCCAUUAAAUGAGCACUAGUCUUGUUAGCAUAGCAU